CUAAGGGCGUUGAAGCAUGAUCGUAAGGACAUGUGGAGCGCUUAGAAGUGAGAAUGCCGGUGUGAGUAGCGAAAGAUGGGUGAGAAUCCCGUCCACCGAUUGACUAAGGUUUCCAGAGGAAGGCUCGUCCGCUCUGGGUUAGUCGGGUCCUAAGCUGAGGCCGACAGGCGUAGGCGAUGGAUAACAGGUUGAUAUUCCUGUACCACCUAUAAUCGUUUUAAUCGAUGGGGGGACGCAGUAGGAUAGGCGAAGCGUGCGAUUGGAUUGCACGUCUAAGCAGUAAGGCUGAGUAUUAGGCAAAUCCGGUACUCGUUAAGGCUGAGCUGUGAUGGGGAGAAGACAUUGUGUCUUCGAGUCGUUGAUUUCACACUGCCGAGAAAAGCCUCUAGAUAGAAAAUAGGUGCCCGUACCGCAAACCGACACAGGUAGUCAAGAUGAGAAUUCUAAGGUGAGCGAGCGAACUCUCGUUAAGGAACUCGGCAAAAUGACCCCGUAACUUCGGGAGAAGGGGUGCUCUUUAGGGUUAACGCCCAGAAGAGCCGCAGUGAAUAGGCCCAAGCGACUGUUUAUCAAAAACACAGGUCUCUGCUAAACCGUAAGGUGAUGUAUAGGGGCUGACGCCUGCCCGGUGCUGGAAGGUUAAGAGGAGUGGUUAGCUUCUGCGAAGCUACGAAUCGAAGCCCCAGUAAACGGCGGCCGUAACUAUAACGGUCCUAAGGUAGCGAAAUUCCUUGUCGGGUAAGUUCCGACCCGCACGAAAGGCGUAACGAUUUGGGCACUGUCUCAACGAGAGACUCGGUGAAAUCAUAGUACCUGUGAAGAUGCAGGUUACCCGCGACAGGACGGAAAGACCCCGUGGAGCUUUACUGUAGCCUGAUAUUGAAAUUCGGCACAGCUUGUACAGGAUAGGUAGGAGCCUUUGAAACGUGAGCGCUAGCUUACGUGGAGGCGCUGGUGGGAUACUACCCUAGCUGUGUUGGCUUUCUAACCCGCACCACUUAUCGUGGUGGGAGACAGUGUCAGGCGGGCAGUUUGACUGGGGCGGUCGCCUCCUAAAAGG
rnacentral:rRNA from 1 species